CAAACAUUGAAGUUCCUGCGGCUCUGUAAAGCGUUUCAGCUGCUCUGUGGAAUAAAGCCAAACUCACUGGAUUAUUAGAAAGAAUCUGCUGUCGAAGUGAAGAUUUGACCCGCGGCUGAAUAUUUGCUGACAGCAUGAAAUGAAAACCUCGGAUAAAACCAGACAGGACAAGAAGUUUGGGAAAGUUUGUCUCCAUAACUUACCAACAAGAACGCAGAUCACGUCCAUAGCCACGUAAAGCCUCUUCUUCAUCAAAUCCGACAUCUUCCUUUUGUUAGUCAUGUGAAAAAUAUAUCUAAAAAAAAAAAACCUACUUGUUUUGUGGAGCAAACGAGUGCAUUUGUGUUCUCUCACUUUGAGUUACGAUCUAUUGAAAUAAACCUGCAGAACUGGU